GCCAGGCGCAGUGGCGCGUGCCUGUAGUCCCAGCUACUCGGGAGGCUGAGGUGGGAGGAUCACUCGAGCCCAGGAGUUCUGGGCUGUAGUGCGCUAUGCCAAUCAGGUGUCCGCACUAAGUUCGGCAUCAAUAUGGUGACCUUCCGGGAGUGGGGGACAACCAGGUUGCCUAAGGAGGGGUGAACUGGCCCAGGUCGGAAAUGGAGCAGGUCAAAACUCCCGUGCUGAUCAGUAGUGGGAUCGCGCCUGUGAAUAGCCACUGCACUCCAGCCUGGGCAACAUAGCGAGACCCUGUCUCU
rnacentral:SRP_RNA from 1 species